GGGGCCAAUAGAGUGCAAAUCAAACGUACCUAACAUUUUCUGCAAGGUUAGAACAGGAAACUGUCAGUCCAGAUGGAUGAAGUCAAGAAGAAAUGGCCCCAGGAAUGUCCUCUACCCAACAAUAUGUCCACUUGCUUCCCAUGAGUUAGGAGGCCUCCCUAUUUUGGUGUGCAUUCAAGUUACGUCAUUUCCUCUGAACUUCUAUGAAACCUAUUUCUGGAAGCUCCAGGCCCUCAGAAUGCCCCCUAAAAGGUGCCUGAAAUUAAAGUUGCAAAAAGGGCUUUCCUGGUCCUGGAGAACAGGGCUAGGCAAUGGCCUUCACUAUGCCUUGUUUUUCCAAUCCUUUGGCAAGCCUAUGGGAACUAAGUUGCCGCUAGUAUUGUCAGCCCUGGAUUUAUUCCUCUGCUUUCUGCUUCCUCAGCUACUCCCAUCUAGGUACCAUGAUGCUGGCAGAUGCCAUCCUACUAUAGUUUCCAGAGUCAUCAGAAUGUGAGGUAGGUGGGGUAUGGACAACCUCAGUCCUGACUUCGCUCAUCUCUUUAUCCCUGGACUCAAUAGAGGCUGAGUUCCUCUGUUCUCCAUAUCUCCUUUACUAGCCAUUGCUAGCCCUGGCCCCUAACUCCCCUGAAAGUAACUCAAACACCACUAUCUGUAUUCAUGCCUCAAUCACCACAGGCAAAUUAUUUCACCCAAAUAACCAUGAUUGGCCCUUUAUAAAUGUUCAAUCAAUAUUAACCAGUAGCAGGAGUUAAGAAUCUAAAUGCAACAGCUAGGAUCUCUGCAGAGGCGAAGGUUUGAUCUCCAGCCUGGCACAGAUCCCUUAACAGUGGGUUAAAGGAUCUGGUUUUGCCACGGUUGUAGCUAGGAUUCAAUCCCUGGCCUAGGAAUUUCCAUAUGCCUGGGUACAGCCAUUUAAAAAAUAUUAACAUGGUUUCCGUCAUGGCACAGUGGAAACUUAUCUGACUAGGAACCAUGAGGUUGUGGGUUCAAUCCCAGGCCUCACUCAGUGGGUAAAGGAUCCGGCAUUGCUGUCAGCUGUGGUGUAGGUCACAGAUGUGGCUCAGAUCUGGCAUUGCUGUGGCUGGGGUGUAGGCUGGCAGCUACAGCUCCGAUUAGACCCCUAGCCUGGGAACCUCCAAAUACUGUGGGUGUGGGCCUAAAGGAAAAAAAAUAACUUAUAGCAGCAGCAGUAGAAGUAAUAGUAGUAGUAGUAAUAAUAGUAGUAACAACUGCCUCAGUUGCUAUCCAAGAAUAGAAUCUUCUUUAUACCCAUUCAGAGCUGGUGGACCAUGCUGUGCCAUUCCAAAUCUUCCCAAAUGUUAUCUAGUUACCACCUGAUUCUUGUAUUCUUCAAUGUGGUGUAACUUGAUUAUCUGGAAAUUGUCAUGUCCCUUGGCCCUGUAACUAGCCACCCUGACCCCCUCACCCUACAAGAGCUGUCCUCAUGUAUGCCUCAGUUCCUCCCAUACUUAUUCUCUUAUGCAAGGGUGUCAUGCCAAUAAUCCAGGCUCAGAUACUCUUCCCUGUGUAGUUGCCAACAGCCAGGAUAAAGCAUUCUUAGGACAUGAGGUCUGAUAGGGACUCCUUCUUCCUAUGACAGUUAAGCUUCUGGUGAUGUGGCUUAGGUACAUUCACCCUUUUAAGUACUCUUUAUGCUAUUCUGGGGAGCAGCUGUCUUUCCCAUACUCCCUUUCUCUCCCUUCCUCCUAUGUUUUUUCACUUCUACUGUCAUUACAAUAGUGCUUAUUGUGUUUCUUCAAAGGUACUCAGUGAGAGGGUGGGUAGGUCCUGGAGGGGAUAUAUGAGAGAAGAACUAUCUUUCUGCUGGAUGAUUUCAUACUUAAUUGGAAAUUAACCCUGGCUCUUAGCUCUCCAGGGUAUAUUCAUAUCCAGCAAGAAAUCACAUCACUGGUCUCCUCAUUUCCUCUCAUUUCAUCCUAUAGUAAUUCACCACACAGCAGUGAGAGUGAUCUUUUAAAAAUGUAAGUCAGAUCAUGCCACAACCCUGCUUGAAAUGGUUUCCCAUUGCACUUGAAAUCCAAAAUCCUUAAUAUGUCCUACAAGGCACUGAAGGGUCUCCCAGUUUGCUUCUCCAGACUCUUCUCACAGCAUUCUUUCCCGCAUCUUCAUACUUCUUCAGCUACAUUGGCUUACUUCAUUUCCCUCAAACAUGCCAUUCUCUCUGUCUCAGGGCCUCAGCACAUAAUUUUUUCUUUUGACUUGGACACUUUUCAUUUGUUUGCAUGGGUAACUUCUUAUAUUUUAGUUCCAGCUCUCUGGUUAAAUGUUAAUUCCUCACAAAAUGUUUCCUUGAGGCCACAAAUUAAACUAGGCAAUGUCCUUGUUGUGACCUAUCAUCCCACUCUUUGCUCUUCCUUAAUAGCACCUUUCAUAAUCUAUUAAAAGUAAAUUAUUAUUCAUUUACUUUUUGUGAUUAUUUAAGGGCUAUCUCCCUUGGAGUGCCAAGAGUAGAACUCCACCCACCAAGGGAAAGCGAAGUUUAUCUAAACCCUCCCUCAAGUCUACCUACUUCUUACAGAAUCUAUAAUAUCCUUGCUUUCUAUUCCUACAGAGUGUCUAGUUCAGACUACUACCACUACUGCUACCAGCCUGGUCCCUGUCAAAUAAUUCUCAAUUGGAACAGAAAAUUCACAAUUAUUUUGGAUUUCAGAAAUACCAGCAUCCCUGCCUAAAUUACCAGAUGGCUGGAGAAGGACUCUUUGAAUUUGAAAAUUCAGCAAUCAAAUUCAAAUACUUGUAUGUGACCCCCCAAAAAAGUUUGUCAAUUAUUAAGGAAGGAAUAAAAUCAAGUAUGAUAUGUUGGCAUAAGUUACUUAGUAGUGAGUCAGCAUCUAUAUCUCAGUUUGGUUAUGCAGUUCUCAAUUCAUAGUGAGUAUGGUGGCAUGUGUAAGUAAGUAUGUAGUAUCUGGAGGCACACUGCUUUUUUUUUUUAAUUGAAGUAAAACAUACAUACAGGAAAGUGAAAAAAUCAUACAUGUAUGGAUCACUGAAUUUCAUAAAUUAAGUUCACUUAUACAGCAUCACUCAUUUUGAGACAAAACAUUACCAGCACAUUAAAAAUAACCUCCAUGGACUCUUAGAGUAACUCCAGCCCCUUCAAGUGAAAAUUAUUAUCCUCAUGUCUAACAUCAAAGACAAAUGUUUUAUUUUUGUAAUUUAUAUAAAUAGAAUAAUACCAUACUUACUCUUCUCUAUAGCUGCUUUGUUCAAUGUUAUAUUUGUGAUAUUCUAAACCAUUGCUCUUAUAUAGUUUGUUGAUUCUCAUUGCUAUAUAAUAUUCCAUUAUGUGAAUAUACCACUAUCUAUGGAAUCAGUCCAUUCUGCUAUUGAUGGCCAUUAAGAAAUUUCCAGUUAUUGGCAAUUAUGGUUAGUGUUUCUUUGAACAUUUCUUAACAUGCCCUGUAGUGAGCAGUGUGCAUUUCUGUUGGGUAUAUGCCUAGGAUUGGAAUGGCUUGGCCAUUGUGUGUGCAUAUAUUCAGCUUUAGUAGUUGUUGUCAAACAUUUUUCCAAAGAUGUACCAUUAUGCAUUUCCAUCAGCAGUGUAUGAUCAUUCUAGUUGUUUUAGAUUCUUACCAACACUUAGAAAUUUUGUAUUUUUUCAUUAUAGCUAUUCUGGUUAUUGUGGAGUGGCAUCUCAUUUUCAUGAGGACUAAUGAAGUUGAGGACAUUUUCUAUGUUUGUCAUUUGGAUAUUUUCUUUUGUAAAGUGCUCAAGUCUUUUGCUCAUUUUUCUAUUGGUCAACCUGUCUUUUGACAUUGAUUUGUAGGGAUUAUAUGUAUAUAAUCUGGCUAUACCUCAUUUGUCAAAUAUAUGCAUUACAUAAAUUCCUCCAAUUUGUUGCUAAAGUAUUUUUUUAUUGUUGAUGUCAUUUGAUGACUAGAAGGCCUUAAUUUUAAUACACUCUAUUUUUCAAAUGGUUAACAUUUUUAAUAUACCACUUUAAAAAUCAUUGCUUCCUCUAAGACUGUCUGGAUUUGAAUGUUGGAUCCACCACUUUCUGCCUGUAUGACCUUGGACAAAUUACUUAACCUCUCUAGCCUUUGUGUUUUUUACAGUAGAAAAUUGAUUCAUAGUAUUUUUAUAAAGGUGAAAGAACAUGAUGCAUAUAAAAUAGUUUAACACCGCACCAAACACAUAAAUAAUCAAUUAUUGCUUAUUAUUUUUCAUUUUAUAUUAUCUAUUAAUAUUUAUAAUUGGAAAUUUAUAAAAGUUCUAUCUUAAAUAACAAGUCUACUUUCCUUAUAUUACAUUGAAGGUUUAAAGUCAGACAUUUUCCACUAUAGGUAAAGUUUGUUUUUCAGCAUUCUGAUUUUUCAGAAUUAAGACUAUAAGAAAAAAAAUUUUAAGCCAGAAUAAUUUUCAGACCAUAGAAGUUAUGAUAACUAAUGGUACUCCCUGAUGGGGAUGUGCAAGCAUGGAGGCAUGGAAUUCCUAAUCAAGAGAGAGUAAUGGCUUGGCAGUUGUGUGUGUGUGUGUGUGUUAGUGAAGUAUAGUCAACAGAGAAUAUUAUGCUAGUUACAUGUGUACAACAUAGUGAUUUAAUAUUUAAAUAUAUUAUGAAAUGAUCACAAAAGUCUAGUAACCAUUUGUCACAUAUAAAUAUUACAGUAUUAUUGACCAUAAUCCUUAUACUAUAUAUUACAUCCCAUUACUUAUUCGUUUUAUAGAAUUGUGUACCUCUUAAUCUUCUCUAUCUAUUUUUCCCACCCCUUAAAGUGCCUUCCCUCUGGCUACCACUAAUUUAUUCUCUGUUUAUUCUAGUUUAUUCUUCUUUUUCCAUUUAUCUAUUGAUGGACACUGAGGUCGCAUCCAUAACUUGACUAUGGUAAAUAAUGCUACAAUGAACAUUAAAGUUCAUAUAUAUUUUCAAAUUAGUGUUUUCAUUUCCUUUUUUUAAUUGAAGUACAACUUAACAUAUUAGUUUCAAGCAUAUAAGAUAUAAUUCAAUAUUUUUAUAGGUUAUACUACAUUUAAAAUUACUUUAAAAUAUUGGCUAUAUUCCCAGUACCAUGCAGUGUAUCAUUGUAGCUUACUUAUUUUAUAUAUAGUAGUUUUUAUCUCUUAAUUAUCUACUCACUUUUUUUUCUUUUGUCUUUUUAGGGCUGCACCAGUGGCAUAGUGAAAUUUCCGGGCUAGGGGUCCAAUCAGAGCUACAGCUGCCGGCCUACACCACAGCCACAGCAACACAUGAUCUGAGCCGCAUCUGCGACCUACACCACAGCUCAUGGCAACUUCAGAUCCUUAACCCACUAAAGGAGGCCAGGGAUCGAACCCACAAGCUCAUGGUUCCUAGUCGGAUUCAUUUCCGCUGUGCCACUACUGGAACUCCUUAAUCAUCUACUCAUAUGUUGCCCUUCCUCUUUUCCCUAUCUGUAAGUCUGUAUCUAUUUUGUUAUAUUCAUUUGUUUGUUUCAUUUUAGAUUCCACAUAUAAGUGAAAACAUAUAAUAUUUAUCUUUUUCUACCUGACUUAUUUCCCUAAGUAUAAUAACCUGAAGGUCCAGUCAUGUUGCUGCAAAGAACUAAUUUUCAUUAUUUUUAUGGCUAAAUAAUAUUUCAUUGCAUCUUCUUUAUCCUUUAACCUGGUGUUGGACACAUAAAUUGCUUCCAUACCUCAGCUACUGUAAAUAAUGUUGUUAUGAACAUUGGGGUGCGUGUAUCUUUUCAAAUUAGUGUUUUGUAUAUUCUUCGGAUAAAUACCCAGGCAUGGAUAUAUACCAAGAUACUAUAUAGCAAUAUGGAUGUACCUUGAAAACAUUGUCAGAGAAAGAUGCUAGUCUUAAAAGAUCACAUAUUAUUCUGUUUAAAUGACAUGUCCAAACUAGCAAGUCUGUAGAGACAGAGAGUAGAUUAGCAGUUUCCUAGGUCUAGAGGGCAUGGGGACUGGGAGGUAAUACUUAAAUAGUACAGGGCUUCUUUUUAGCAUAAUGGAAAUGCUUCAGAUUUGAGUGUGGCAAUAGUUGCACAACUUUGUGACUAUACAAAAAUGUAUACUCUAAGUGGUUGAAUUUUAUGCUAUGUGAAUCAUAUCUCAAUAAAGCUGUUUCAAACAAAACAAAA
rnacentral:lncRNA from 1 species